GUAGUCGAGAGGGAAACAGCCCGACCGACGGCUAAGGUCCCCGAUAGUAUGCUAAGUGUGAAAUGAUGUGUGAUGGCGAAGACAGCCAGGAGGUUGGCUUAGAAGCAGCCAUUCCUUUAAAGAGUGCGUAAUAGCUCACUGGUCGAGUCAUGAUGCGCAAACAAUGUAACGGGGCUAAGCAUACAACCGAAGCCGCGGAUUCAAUAAGCAAUUUUUGGAUGGUAGGGGAGCAUUCCACAGACUGAAGAAGGUACACUGUGAGGUGUGCUGGAGGGAGUGGAAGAGAGAAUGCAGGUAUAAGUACACGAAAAGAAGGGUGAGAUUCCCUCCGCCGAAAGCCUAAGGAUUCCUGGGUAAAGGUCAUCUGCCCAGGGUAAGUCGGCCCCUAAGGCGAGGACGAAAGUCGUAGUCGAUGGGAAACUGGUUCAUAUUCCAGUACCGUUUUUGGUUUUAAGGGAUGACGCCUGAGGUGAAACCCGGCCGGGCGACGGUUGUCCCGGUCGAAGCCGCUAGUUAUUGGGGAUGGAGGAAACAUCCCCUAGAUGAGCUGUGACAGCGAGUGGAGUCUACGGCUAAGCGAAGCGGGUGUAAUCAAGGUGCCAAGAAAUAAUCCCCAUCUAGUAAGGCCAGGAAGACCGUACCGUAAACCGACACAGGUAGGCGGGAUGAGAAAUCUAAGGCGCUCGAGAGAACUCACGUUAAGGAACUCGGCAAAAUGCCACGUAACUUCGGGAGAAGUGUGGCCGUUGCCAGUUUUAGCAAUAGAGUUGAUGGCGGCGUCACAAAGCAGUCCCAGGCGACUGUUUAUCAAAAACACAGGC
rnacentral:rRNA from 1 species